UGUUUAUAGUCAUUCAGGCGAUAUAAAAACAAAAAAGUCUUAACCAGGUCUGCAGUGGCUACAGUCAGUACACUUUGUUGAAUAUUUGAAGGUGAUCAGCUCACCAUGCACAAAUGAUUCUGUGGGAAUAAAGAAGGCAGCAGCUAUCAUUCCAAGCAAGGUGAUGAACUUCAGAAACCAGAACCUAAGUGAAGAUAUUGAGAAUAUAAAGAUUGCCAUCAUCAAGUAGAAACAAGCUGUGCCAAAGCACACCCUGUAGACAGCCGAGUACCCCACCAACAUCUGACAGUUCCCUCCACCAUGAGCCUCAUCGCAGACCACAUUAAAGAAAGGC